rnacentral:rRNA from 1 species
AUGGCUGGAUUCGCUGAUGCACUAAGGCCGGAUAAGUUUACCGGUGUGCACUUUAAGAGGUGGCAGGUGAAGACCACGCUCUGGCUUACUGCUCUGAAAGUUUUCCACGCUAGUGUUGGUGCUCCAGAGGGAAUGACCGACGAAGAUCGGAGAAAAUUCCAGGAAGCCAAUACUAUGUUUGUGGGAUGCAUUCUGAGUGUUCUUGCUGACCGUCUGUGUGAUGUGUACAUGCACAUAAACGACGGAAAAAUUCUGUGGGAUGCACUGAAUGCAAAAUUCGGUGCAACAGAUGCAGGCAGUGAACUGUACAUCAUGGAGAGUUUUCAUGACUACAAGAUGGUGAAUAACCGUUCUGUGGUUGAACAAGCUCAUGAGAUACAGUGCAUUGUGAAGGAACUUGAACUCCUUAAAUGUGUUCUACCCGACAAAUUCGUGGUUGGGUGCAUGAUUGCAAAGUUGCCUCCUUCAUGGAGGAAUUUCGCCACAACUCUGAAGCAUAAGAGACAGGAGAUAUCAGUUGAAAAUCUGAUUGCAUCUCUUGAUGUUGAAGAAAAAGCUCGGGCUAAAGAUACCACUGAAAAAGGAGGUGAGGUUCAGCCUACUGCUAACAUGGUGCAGAGGUAUCCACAGAACAAGAACAAAGGGAAGAACAAACCUGUUGUCAACAAGCCUACCAAGACUACUACCUUCAAGAAGAAGAAGUUCAACAAGGCUGAGCUAGAGUGCUACGUCGCAAGGGAUUCUUCCGUCCUAAUGGGGAAUGGGUCACAUGCUUCUGUACGUGGCAUUGGCACGGUGGAUCUGAAGUUUACUUCGGGAAAGAUCGUGCAACUAAGGAACGUGCAGCAUGUCCCUACUAUGAACAAGAAUCUAGUUAGCGGCUCCCUUCUAUGUCGAGAUGGAUUUAAGGUAGUUUUAGAGUCCAAUAAAGUAAUCGUGUCAAGAUUUGGACAAUUUAUAGGAAAAGGCUAUGAGUGCGGAGGCUUGUUCCGCUUUUCUCUUUCAGAUUUUUGCAAUAAGUCAAUAAACCAAAUUUGUGCUAGUGUUAAUGAUGAUGCAAGUAUUUGGCACUCUCGUUUAUGUCAUAUUAAUUUUGGUUUAAUGUCUCGGCUAUCCAGCAUGAGUUUAAUUCCGAACUUCACAGUUGCCAAAGGUUUUAAGUGCCAUAGUUGUGUGCAAUCUAAGCAACCUCGAAAGCCUCAUAAGGCUGCCGAGGAGAGAAACUUGGCGCCUCUAGAACUCAUACAUUCUGAUCUUUGUGAGAUGAAUGGUGUGUUGACAAAAGGUGGAAAGAGAUAUUUCAUGACUUUGAUUGAUGAUGCGACUAGAUUUUGCUAUGUUUAUUUGUUGCAAACUAAAGAUGAAGCAUUAGACUACUUUAAAAUCUAUAAAGCUGAAGUUGAAAAUCAACUAGAGAGAAAGAUCAAGCGUCUUAGGUCCGAUCGUGGUGGAGAGUAUUUUCCAAAAGUUUUUGAUGAAUUUUGUGAGGAACAUGGUAUUAUUCAUGAGAGGACGCCUCCCUAUUCACCUCAAUCAAAUGGAGUGGCCGAGAGGAAAAACCGCACAUUGACUGACUUGGUGAAUGCCAUGUUAGACACUGCUGGUUUAUCUAAGGCAUGGUGGGGGGAGGCUCUAUUGACUUCAUAUCAUGUCCUGAAUAGAGUUCCCAACAAUAACAAAGAGAAAACCCCUUAUGAGGAGUGGGUUGGGAGAAAACCAUCACUUUCUUAUUUGCGCACUUGGGGAUGUUUGGCAAAGGUCAAUAUUACUAUUCCUAAGAAACGCAAACUUGGACCAAAGACAGUGGAUUGUGUCUUUCUAGGGUAUGCUCAACGGAGCAUUGCUUAUAGGUUUUUAGUGGUAAAAUCUGAAGUACCUGAUAUGCAUGUUGAUACUAUAAUGGAAUCUCGUGAUGCAACAUUUUUUGAGAACAUAUUUCCUAUGAAAGAUAUGCAUAGCAUUGCUAGAUUUUCUUCUGAGAUAAUUCCUGAAUCUAGUACAACUGAUGAAUAUUUCGAACAAUCACAUGAGGAAGUCCUUGAGAAGGAUAACAAUGAAGUUCCUAGAAGGAACAAGAGACAAAGGAUUGCAAAAUCCUUUGGUGAUGAUUUCAUUGUAUACCUUGUGGACGACAGACCCAAGACGAUUGCAGAAGCAUAUGCAUCUCCGGAUGUAGAUGAUUGGAAAGAAGCUGUUCAUAAUGAAAUGGACUCAAUUCUUUCUAAUGGAACUUGGGAACUAACUGAUAGACCAUAUGGUUGUAAACAUGUGGGCUAUAAGUGGGUGUUCAAAAAGAAGCUAAAGCCUGAUGGUACUAUUGAUAAGUACAAGGCGCGGCUAGUGGCCAAGGGCUACACUCAGAAAGAAGGCGAAGAUUACUUUGACACCUAUUCACCCGUUGCUAGAAUGACCACCAUUCGAGUGUUACUUUCCUUGGCUGCCUCUUAUGGUCUUAUCAUUCAUCAAAUGGAUGUAAAGACAACUUUUCUCAAUGGAGAGUUGGAAGAGGAGAUCUAUAUGGAUCAGCCUGACGGGUUUGUGGUAAAGGGUGAAGAGAGAAAGGUGUGCAAGUUGUUAAAAUCUUUGUACGGUCUGAAACAGGCACCUAAGCAAUGGCAUGAGAAGUUUGAAAGAACUUUGACUUCUGCAGGAUUUGUCAUUAACGAGGCUGAUAGGUGUGUUUACUAUCGCCAUGGUGGGGGCAAUAGUGUCAUAUUAUGUUUGUAUGUGGACGACAUACUGAUCUUUGGUACAAACAUUAAUGCAAUUAAUGAGGUCAAGUCUUCUCUAUCAAAAAGUUUUGACAUGAAAGAUCUGGGAAAAGCCGAUGUAAUUCUAAACAUCAAACUUAUUAAGGAUGAGAGUGGGAUUACAUUAACGCAAUCUCACUAUGUUGAGAAGGUCUUGAACCGAUUCGGUUUUAUGGAUAGCAAGCCUUCUCCAACACCUUAUGAUCCCAGCGUGACACUCAGAAAGAACAAGAAAGAAACGAGAGAUCAAUUAAGAUACUCUCAAAUUGUCGGUUCACUCAUGUACUUAGCUAGCGCUACAAGACCAGAUAUCUCUUUUGCUGUGAGCAAACUGAGUAGGUUCAUGUCCAACCCGGGUGAUGAUCAUUGGCAUGCACUAGAAAGGGUCUUGCACUAUCUGAGAGGUACUAUGAGUUACGGAAUUACUUAUUCAGGGCAUCCUGCUGUGCUAGAAGGAUAUAGUGAUUCAAAUUGGAUCUCCGAUGUUGAUGUACUUUACGCAACAAGUGGGUAUGUAUUUACUCAUGGUGGUGGCGCAGUGUCAUGGAGGUCUUGCAAGCAAACCAUAUUGACGAGGUCAACUAUGGAAGCAGAAUUAACUGCUUUGGACACAGCUACUGUUGAGGCAGAAUGGCUGCGUGAGCUCUUGAUGGACUUGCCGGUUGUUGAAAAACCUGUACCGGCUAUUCUUAUGAAUUGUGAUAACCAAACGGUUAUCGCUAAAGUGAACAAUUCUAAAGAUAAUGCAAAGUCAUCAAGACAUGUGAAAAGACGUUUGAAGUCUGUCAGGAAGUUGAGAAACUCCGGAGUAAUAACUGUUACAUAUAUACAAACAGACAAAAACCUGGCAGAUCCCUUUACAAAGGGACUAUCACAAAAUGUGAUAGAUAUUGCAUCGAGGGAGAUGGGUAUGAGACCCAUA